CACACACACACACACACACAAAAAUGCAAUAAUUUGAUACAAGCACGAAUGCAAUUACUUUGAAGAAGUUUUAUGCAAUUUACCGAAGUAUCAAUUAACCCAACUAUAACACAAGCAAGAAUGCAAUUACUAUGAUAAGUUUGAACUGCUAAAGAAAACACAUCACAUUGGUACUGAAGUAUCUGGCCUGCUAUGGAAGCAGAUAAAUAAGCUGCAAGGGCAUCAGGUCUCCAAGGUUAUAAAGCAUCAAUGAAAUGUUUCAGACGCAAAUUACCCAUUAAACAUAUGAGAUUCAUCACCUGCCCAAUUACACAAAACCCUUCCUUUUAACUCGAUAAACAAAGAUUAGUAGCCACAAUUAUAAAAUUCCCGAUUUGAACUCCCAAAAAAAAAGACCCAUCACAAAUCAAAUUGCCGAAAACGAAAUAGAAAUCCCUCCAAAGCAGAAAAAUAAAAAAUAAAUAAAAGCAGUGAGCUUGAGGAUUAGGAAGCGAUCAGAACCUGUCGGGAUUCAUGAUAACAUCACACAAAUAGUCAGUGGAUUGACAGACAAAUGAAUUUCUAUCGUCACCUCGCUUUUUGAUCCUCAGAAAAUCACCCAUAAAUUAAUAAAUAAAAGAAAAACAUACAGUAAAACUGAAGAAAAGUUAAGCGUCAGCUCAGAACUUCUUAGAGGGUUGUGUUACCAUCAAAGACGAGCUCAAAAGACUCAUCUCUGGAACACAAAAAGAUUUCAUCACGGCAUGACUAAUCUACAGAUCCUGCAAAGGACGAUUAACUUUGCAAUGAAAUUUCAUACUGAAUGAGAACUCACAUUAAAUAAUUUGCUAUAAAAUUUCAAAACUUCAUCUGAAGAGAGCUGAACAGCCAGAUUCAGAAGCCAGA
rnacentral:misc_RNA from 1 species